GCCCAGGGAGCUCCCAGCAGACGUCCGGGCUGGAAAAAGGACACCAGGAGCGAGACGAAGCGGCCUGAUGUGUCAGUCGGAGGCCGAAUCUGUCUUCGUAGCUGGGGAGGGAGGGAGAGAGAAACAACUCGGGGCCUGCAGGAGACAGGCAUGAUGCGAUAGGCCUCCCUGAAUGCAGGCGUGACAGUGACGGCCGCCAGAGAGAUGGCCUUUGCCAACAGGUGGCUGAGCCUCCAUCGCUCCUCCCGGGCACCGCACCACGUCCCGCCGUGUGCCAGCGCCUGCUCCGGCCACUGCUCGUCCUCGGAUGAGGACCGGGGGGAUCGGUGAGCUGGGGGCAGUGGGGCCAGAUGCUCCUGUGAGUGGUACAGCACCGAGGAGCAAGCAGACCUCUUGCUCUUUGAUCCAGGCUCCUGAAGGCAGGAGCAAUAUCUCUUCUGCCCCCGGUGCCAGCUGUCCUCCCCGACACCCGGCUCCGUGGCAUGGCAGGGGGCAUCCGCUCCCCCUCGGGGGCUGGAAGCUCGCCCCUGGCAUCCUGGCGCACUUGCCCUUGGAGCUGCAGCUUCUCCUGCUCAUUAACUCAUAAAUAAUAGGGACCAGCAGCGUUCAGUGCUAAUUAAUUUUGUGAACUGAACCAGGGUGAAUGGGGUAAUUGCCCAUGGCGUGUGCGGGCCGACAGGUGAGCCCUCCUGCUUUCACCCUCCUUGUUUACCAGCUUCUCCGUGUUUAUUUUAAGAAGCAUUUGGUCCCUCUCCGUGUGAAGAAGGAGAGCCAUGUGAUCCAGCCCAGAGAGAGCGCAGCAGGCGCUGAAUAUUAAAUUAAAACACAUCCUCGCUUAUACACAAAAAAAAAAAAAAAAAAAAAAAAAAAAAACAAGCUGGAAAGGUUAAGAGCUAACAGAGAUCCUCAGAACAGUCUCUGUCUGUUUGGAAUGAAUUAAUCAGACCAUUAAACAAAUCUUUUAAUCUAAA